rnacentral:rRNA from 1 species
UACGUAGGCAGCAAGCGUUGUUCGGAAUUACUGGGCGUAAAGAGUGUGUAGGCGGUGUUCCAAGUCUGUUGUGAAAUCUCCCGGCUUAACUGGGAGGGUGCGGCGGAAACUGGGAUGCUAGAGGAUGGGAGAGGUAAGCGGAAUUCCUGGUGUAGCGGUGAAAUGCGUAGAUAUCAGGAGGAACACCUGUGGUGUAGACAGCUUACUGGACCAUUUCUGACGCUGAGACACGAAAGCGUGGGUAGCAAACAGG